GCACUUCUGCGCUCGGCCGCCAACGAGCAAGUGGCCGAUGGCCACCCCCAAAUGCCAUCGCUGCCUCGUGGCGGUUUUCGACUUUUGUGGGUAUAAAAUAAAUCUUUCGCCUUCUCCACUCUGCCAUUGACAUUUCUCUGGUCCUCGGGGGUCCUCUGUUUCGGGGGUAGGAUGAGGAUCGGGAGGUGGAGUCGGGGGCCGCUCAUCGGCCGCGGAUCCUCCUCCGAUGUCUCCGUCGCCACCGACCUUUCCUCCGGAAAUGUCUUCGCCGUCAAGUCGGCGGAGCUCUCGCGCUCGGCCUCCCUGCAGCACGAGCAGAGGAUCCUCGCGUCUCUGGAUUCGCCUUACGUGGUCACUUGCUUCGGGUUCGAUGUCAGCUCCGAUUGGGCCUCGGGAAGCCGCAGCUACAACCUUUUGUUGGAGUACGCGGCGAGGGGAUCGCUGGCGGACGACGUGGCGAAGCGGGGCGGGCGGCUGGAGGAGGCGGCGAUCAGGUCCAACGCCGGAAGCGUGCUCCGGGGAUUGGCUUACCUCCACUCGAGCGGGGUCGUCCACUGCGACGUCAAGGGGCGGAACGUCCUGAUUGGCUCCGACGGCACCGCCAAGCUCGCCGACUUGGGAUGCGCCCGCCGGAUUGGGGAAGAGCGCGGCGGAAUACGAGGCACGCCCAUGUUCAUGGCCCCCGAAGUGGUCCGCGGGGAAGAGCAGGGGCCGCCGGGCGACGUGUGGGCCCUCGGCUGCACCGUGAUCGAGAUGGCCACCGGGCGGGGGCCGUGGCCCGACGUCUCCGACCUCGCGGCCGCGCUUCACCGGAUCGCUUUCUCGCCGGAAGUUCCGGAGCCCCCUGGCUGGCUAUCCCGCGAGGGGAAGGACUUCUUGAGCAAGUGCUUGGUGAGGGAUCCCCGGGAGCGGUGGACGGCGGAGCAGCUCCUCCAGCACGAGUUCGUGAGCUCCUCCUCACCGUCGGGAAUGCCAAAAUCGGACGUCGAGCGGCGGUGGGUGUCCCCGAAGAGCAUUCUCGACCAGGCAAUGUGGGAGACGCUACCGGAAGGGGAGGACGAAGCCGACGAACGACCCUCGGCGGGUGAUCCGUCGACGAGGAUGGAGCAAUUAAUCGGCGGCCACAAUCCUUGCUGGAGAUGGGGCGACGAUUGGGUGACGAUCAGAAGCAACGGCGACCAAUUCUCGGAAGAAUUCACAUGAGCCGAGCCGAGCCGAGUCCGAUCACUAGCAACAUUGAUCGAUGAUUCACGUAAAACAGAAGAUAGUUUUUCGUGAUUUGGUCGGCUCGUGAUUUUUUGGUCAUUGGCUGUGUAGAAUUGUAUAUGAGAAAGGUAAAGGGCCAUGGCCAUGGGUAUGGGCAUAAAGUAAGGGGAAGGAGGAAGAGUUGGAGGUUGGCAAUGGUUGCUUUUUUGUUCGAGAUCACUUUCCUUGGAAUGGAGAUUUCCACUGAGCACGGAGAAGAAUCUGAAACUUGGUCGGUGAUCAUCAAUCCUUUCGUACAGUGAGAAGAUGACAGGACAAAAGCCUAUCUGCCUGCCUAAUCAGUGAGGAGAGAUUGUGCUGCCACUGUACUGCAUCUGCAUUGCUCUGCUUUGGAGAUAUUGUAAAUCCAAACAUUUUGAUAAAUCCCAUACGAUCUGGUAUGGACAAUGACGAUGAGUGCAGCCAUUAUUAUAUUAGUAGAUAAC